rnacentral:rRNA from 1 species
GACGAACGCUGGCGGCGUGCUUAACACAUGCAAGUCGAACGGAAAGGCCCUGCUUUUGUGGGGUGCUCGAGUGGCGAACGGGUGAGUAACACGUGAGUAACCUGCCCUAGAUUUUGGGAUAACUUCAGGAAACUGGGGCUACUACCGGAUAGGAGCUCCUGUUGCAUGGUGGGGGUUGGAAAGUUUCGGCGGUCGGGGAUGGACUCGCGGCUUAUCAGCUUGUUGGUGGGGUAGUGGCUUACCCAGGCUUUGACGGGUAGCCGGCCUGAGAGGGUGACCGGCCACAUUGGGACUGAGGUACGGCCCAGACUCCUACGGGAGGCAGCAGUGGGGAAUAUUGCACAAUGGGCGGGAGCCGGAUGCAGCAGCGCCGCGUGCGGGAUGACGGCCUUCGGGUUGUAAACCGCAUUCGCCUGUGACGAAGCUCGAGUGACGGUAAUGGGUAAAGAAGCACCGGCUAACUACGUG